GACAGGGAGCAGACAUUGAUUAAUCUAGACACAAGGCUCAGCUGGGCAGACACAGAUGGCGACUAUAUCAACCAGGAAGCUGGCAACAGGAGGGGUAGGAGGAAAGAAGUCUUCAACUGCUUCCUGGGGGCUAUCACAGAAGUUGGAGUGACUCAAUAAAAUGCAAAAGAGAUGACCAGACUGAUUCUUCGAAAGGCACAAAAAUGAAGCUCGGAGCCUGACUGACUCUAAAAAUGAGGAAAAUCAAAGAAAAGAGAACACAGAUGAUGGACUCCAGAGCCAGGGGGAGCAUUUCCAUUAAUCCCUCAGUGGAGAGUAAAGGCUACAGUGUAAAUGCAUUUAUGGACUAUAUUAGCUUUACUGGCACUCUACAUUCGGAACUCCAAUGGAUUGAGGACUAGGCUGUUUUUUCCAACUUGGGAUGUAAGCUGAACACCUGGCAGAGCAAGAAUGGAAUUUCCCUCCCUUCCUACAGCAUUGCAAAACCAACGAGGUACAUUCUACAGUGGGAAUUUGACUUUCUGAGGCAUUGUGCAGUGGCCACUGCCAAAGAGAUUUGAACCGUGAGUGGAAUGAUCCGGCAGGACUGGACCAAGCUGAACCGGCUUGUACAGAGCUGGCUUUGCAGUGAGGACUGAUCAGACUGGUAGCAAGACAGUGCUGGCUUCACAGCACUUCCCAAGCUAGCGAGGACUGACCAGACCAGUGGAGGAAGAGCUGAUGUCGCAGACCUGAACCAGAGCAUUCCUUCACCCUCCCCCCAAAUGCAUUAGCUCGUAUUAUUCCAAACUGAAUCCAGGUUUUUUGACUGGGAC